CCUACGGGUGGCUGCAGUGGGGAAUAUUGGACAAUGGGCGAAAGCCUGAUCCAGCCAUGCCGCGUGUGUGAAGAAGGCCUUCGGGUUGUAAAGCACUUUCAGUGGGGAAGAAAGCCUUGGGGCUAAUACCCUCGAGGAAGGACAUCACCCACAGAAGAAGCACCGGCUAACUCCGUGCCAGCAGCCGCGGUAAUACGGAGGGUGCGAGCGUUAAUCGGAAUUACUGGGCGUAAAGCGCGCGUAGGCGGUCUGAUAAGCCGGUUGUGAAAGCCCCGGGCUCAACCUGGGAACGGCAUCCGGAACUGUCAGGCUAGAGUGCAGGAGAGGAAGGUAGAAUUCCCGGUGUAGCGGUGAAAUGCGUAGAGAUCGGGAGGAAUACCAGUGGCGAAGGCGGCCUUCUGGACUGACACUGACGCUGAGGUGCGAAAGCGUGGGUAGCAAACAGGAUUAGAUACCCCAUAGUC
rnacentral:rRNA from 1 species